AUGGCUUUGUGUUUCGCGUUUUCGUUAUUUUUGUUUUCGUUAUUUUUGAUUUCUUUUUCUUUGACUUAUAUUCCGUUCUU
rnacentral:ribozyme from 14 species